rnacentral:rRNA from 1 species
AUGGCGACCGCCGUGGCGUCGCAGCCGCGACACUUCACCCUCGGCGGCGAGCCGAGGGCAGCCAUCUGCGCAGCCAGCACAUCAAAGAUUUGCACCCUGGACAAAGUAUACGGAUUCAGAUGGUUAGAAUUUAGGAGACAGAGGAUAGCCUUUCAGAGAACUGGAAGGUGGGUUCACAGUAUUCCAUUGGCUUCUCAAGAUGAUGGCAGUGGUGUGUCUGUUAAUGGAGUACCACAAGUUGAUCCAGCAAGUCAAAUGAAGGAAAUAAGGGUGAAAUUGGAUAAAGCAUUGCAAAAUGAAGACAUAAGCACUGGCCUUGUCCAAUCAAUACAUGAUGCUGCGAGAUCUAUUGAAUUGGCUUUCCUUGAUCACAGCAAAUCAUCAAUAAACUCUUGGUUCCCAAAGAUGUGGCUUGGUGUCGAUAACAAUGCAUGGAUAAAAUCGCUGUCUUACCAGGCUGCUGUUAGCUCGUUACUGCAAGCAGUUAUCGAUGUUUCAUCAAGGGGGAACGGCAGAGAUAGAGAUAUUAAUGUAUUUGUUCAAAGGAGUUUAUCCCGCCUUCUCAGCUCUCUAGAUGGUGUUAUACAGAAUGAAUUGGCUAAAAGGGAACCUUCAUUAUAUCAGUGGUAUUCAUCUAAUCAAAAUCCAUUGGUGGUGAGGACAUUUGUGAACACUUUUGAAAAUGAUCGACGAUUUAAUUCUGCAACAGCAAUAUGCAGCGAAGGCAAGCCAAUGGAUACUAGUGAAAGUGACCUUUCUUUGCUUGUGCUUGGUCUGUUCUGUCUUGCUGCUAUUACGAAGCUAGGAUCAGCAAAAGUUUCUUGUCAGCAGUUUUUCUCCAUGGUCCCUGAUAUUAUUGGCCGAUUCCUGGAUAUGCUUCUUGAAUUCGUUCCUAUAAGUAAAGCGUAUACCUUGACGAAAGAUAUUGGUCUUCAGAGAGAAUUCUUGUGCAAUUUUGGUCCUCGUGCUGCUGUUCCUAAGUUUGCUAAUGAUCAUGGACUUGAGAUAUCAUUUUGGAUUGAUCUGGUUCAGAAACAAUUACUAAGGGCUCUUGAUCGUGAAAAGAUAUGGUCAAGACUGACAACAAGUGAAACUAUUGAGGUUUUGGAAAAGGACCUAGCGAUAUUUGGUUUUUUCAUUGCUUUAGGCAGAAGUACACAAGUAUACCUGUCUUCCAAAAGUCAUACAGAUUCAAAUGAUUCUAUCAAUAGUAUUGUAAGGUACCUUAUUGGUGGGAGCGUCCUAUAUUAUCCACAGUUGUCCUCGAUUAGUUCUUAUCAGUUGUAUGUGGAGGUUGUUUGUGAAGAGCUUGAGUGGCUUCCAUUUUACUAUGAAGAUGUGCCAACGGCAAUAGUUGAUACUCAAGGCAGAGAAGAAAUGCCUAAAAGAGAACUGAUAUCAAGGGUGCUAAAUGUCUGCACUUAUUGGAUGACUAGUUUUAUAAAGUAUAGCUCAUGGCUUGAGAACCCCUUAAAUGUAAAGGCAGCACGAUUCCUAUCUAAGGGGCAUGCCAUGUUGAGCGACUGCAUGACUGAGCUUGACAUAGCAAAAAAUAAUAUGCCUAAAGACCGAAGUUUUCAAGAAACUGGAGUAUUGGUUGAUGCGACUGAGCUAGCUUCCAUUGACAAGUCACUUGAAAGUGUCGAGGAAGCUUUGGUUAAGUUAGAAAAUUUGCUUCAAGAAUUGCAUCUUUCCAGUUCCAACUCUGGUAAGGAGGAUCUAAAGGCUGCAUGUUCUGAUCUAGAAAUGAUCAGAAGACUGAAGAAGGAAGCAGAAUUUCUUGAGGCUUCCUUUCGAGCAAAAGCAGAAUAUCUGGAGGCUGAUACUAUUAGCAGAGUGUUACCUCCUGCUGGCGAGGGAGAACACGGAAAGACGGGCAGCAUGGUUAAUGAGGUUUUAACACCACAAAAACCAGUAAAUAGGAUGGAGAACAAUCGUCGUCCGUUUUGGGACAUUUUUGGUACGACUUCAGGAAGGAAAAUUGUGCCAGCACAAGAAGCUGUGGAUCAGGAUGCUUCUGCUACCAAGGUGGAUCAAAUAGACAUGGAGUCAAAUGACAUCCGCCGCUUCGAACAGUUGAGACGUGAGUUGAUUGAGUUAGAAAGGAGAGUGCAGAAGAGUACAGAUGGUGCUAGAAAAGAGGAGUUCCAGGAAACGGAGGUUCCAGAUGAAACAAUGAGCCCUUCUGAGUCAGCAACCCCUCUGUCAGGGCCUUCUGGUUCAGUAAUCAAGAAAGAAAAUGUUAUUACAAAAUCGGUAGAGAAAGUUAAGGAGAGUACAACGAUUGUGUUGCAAGGGACACAGCUCUUAGCAAUUGACACAGGAGCUGCUAUGGGUUUACUGAAAAGAUCUCUUAUUGGGGAGGAACUAACUCAGAAGGAGAAGCAGGCUCUUCAGAGAACCCUGACAGAUUUGGCAUCUGUUGUUCCAAUAGGAAUACUCAUGCUUCUACCAGUUACUGCUGUUGGGCAUGCUGCUAUUUUGGCUUUCAUCCAGAGAUAUGUGCCUUCCAUGAUCCCAUCCACAUAUGGCCCCGAGAGGUUAGAUCUCCUCAGGCAGCUUGAGGAAGUGAAGGAAAUGAAAUUGCCUGAAGGCAGCAGUGAAGAUAUUUCUGACGCAAUAGGUUUGAGAGGUGACCAAGUGAAAUAA